GAUGAACGCUAGCUACAGGCUUAACACAUGCAAGUCGAGGGGUAACGAGAGGAAAGCUUGCUUUCCUUGUCGACGACCGGCGCACGGGUGAGUAACGCGUAUCCAACCUGCCCCCAACUAGGGAAUAACCUUGCGAAAGUAAGACUAAUACCCUAUAAUUUCCUCAGAUGUCAUCUGACGAGGAAUAAAGAUUCAGCGGUUGUGGAUGGGGAUGCGUCUGAUUAGCUUGUUGGCGGGGUAACGGCCCACGAAGGCAACGAUCAGUAGGGGUUCUGAGAGGAAGGUCCCCCACAUUGGAACUGAGACACGGUCCAAACUCCUACGGGAGGCAGCAGUGGGGAAUAUUGGUCAAUGGGCGGAAGCCUGAACCAGCCAAGUAGCGUGCAGGAUGACGGCCCUAUGGGUUGUAAACUGCUUUUAUACAGGAAUAAAGUUAGCCACGUGUGGUUAUUUGUAGGUACUGUAUGAAUAAGGACCGGCUAAUUCCGUGCCAGCCGCCGCCGUAA
rnacentral:rRNA from 1 species